UACGGAGGGGGCUAGCGUUGUUCGGAAUUACUGGGCGUAAAGCGUGCGCAGACGGUUGCGUAAGUCAGAUGUGAAAUCCACUGGCUUAACUGGUGGCUUGCUUUCGAUACGGGCAGACUGGAGGCAUGCAGGGGAGAACGGAAUUCCUGGUGUAGCGGUGAAAUGCGCAGAUAUCAGGAGGAACACCGGUGGCGAAGGCGGUUCUCUGGGCAUGUCCUGACGCUGAGGAGCGAAAGUGUGGGGAGCGAACAGG
rnacentral:rRNA from 1 species